GGGACGUACAGGUCCAGGGUGGAAACACAGCAGACAAAAGUCCCCGUGUCGAAUAGUAGUGGGAUCGCGCCUGUGAAUAGGCAGCGGUUGGUAGCCUGUCCAAUAAAGUUGGACUCGAUCCUUUUUUUGCUUCAUCUUUUGAACAUAAUUAAAGGAUUUUGUAUUAUUUAUAUAUUUUAAUGUCAGUUAUCAGUAAAUUAUAACAUGUACAUUUCGACCAAACAAAAAAAGGGGGG
rnacentral:lncRNA from 1 species